CUUUAGGUGUGUUUGUAUAGGACAUAGAGUUGAGGUUUGCUAUGGAUUUCUUUUUCUUUUCUUUUUGUUUUGUUUUUUGUUUUUUGAGACAAGGCUUGCUCUGUUAUCCAGGCUGGAGUACAGUGGCAUGAUCAUAGCUUACUGCAGUCUCGACCUCCCGGGCACAAACAACCUUUUCACCUCAGCCUCCCAAGUAGCUGGGACCACAGAUGCAUGCCACCACAUGCCUGGCUAAUUUUUACAUUUCUUGUAGCAAAAGGGUCUCACCAUGUUGCUCAGGUUGGUCUGGAACUCUUAGGCUCAAGUGAUCCUCCUGCCUUGGCCUUCCAAGGUACUGGGAUUACAUGUGUGAGCCACCAGGCCCGGACUUGAACAGCUUCUUUUAAAAGCUGCCAUGCUGUGAAAACACUCAAGCAGUCUCACAGAGUGUUCAAAUGGCAAGGUACUGAGGUGCCCUGGCAACGGCAAGGAACUGAGGCCUUCAUCCAAAGCCAUUAAGUGAGCCAUACUGGAAGCAGGUGCUCCGGUCCCUGGUGGUCUUGAGAUGACAGCAGCUUCAGUGUCUUGACUGCAACCUCAAGAAAGACCUUGAGCCAAAGCCAUCCAGAACAACAGAUGACACGAGAUGUCCCUGCUGGGGAGAAAAACUUGAUGAUCCCAUUGGCAAACCAGCUCCUGAGAUUUGUAUCAAGGCCUCUGCAUCUCACAGCUACCUUGUGUCUCCUCUAUUGAAAAGCUGCUGGGACUUUCAGAGACAUUCUACUAAUGGCAAGUUCUGAGAAGGAAAACAAAAAGAUGCCUUAGUUCCAUGGAAGGCUGCUCUGAGGGAUAUUCUGCUAAGUGGCAUCCAGACAGAACACGGAGAAGCUCCUCGAUUGCGUCUCUCCCCUGCCUUAUUGUUUCCUGCUGCCCUUGACACUCCACUGUUUGGGCUAUUGCAAGGUUAGAAGGAUGCUCACGACCAACGAGACAGAGUCCUUUGCAUAUGGCCUUGAGGAUGUGUGCUUCUGAAAUCUAACAAUGUGGGAAAGGGCAACAAAUCCAUAGGAAAAC
rnacentral:lncRNA from 1 species